GCGGCUGCUGGCACGAAGUUAGCCGGUGCUUAUUCUGUUGGUAACGUCAAAACAGCAAGGUAUUAACUUACUGCCCUUCCUCCCAACUUAAAGUGCUUUACAAUCCGAAGACCUUCUUCACACACGCGGCAUGGCUGGAUCAGGCUUUCGCCCAUUGUCCAAUAUUCCCCACUGCUGCCUCCCGUAGGAGUCUGGACCGUGUCUCAGUUCCAGUGUGACUGAUCAUCCUCUCAGACCAGUUACGGAUCGUCGCCUUGGUAGGCCUUUACCCCACCAACUAGCUAAUCCGACCUAGGCUCAUCUGAUAGCGUGAGGUCCGAAGAUCCCCCACUUUCUCCCUCAGGACGUAUGCGGUAUUAGCGCCCGUUUCCGGACGUUAUCCCCCACUACCAGGCAGAUUCCUAGGCAUUACUCACCCGUCCGCCGCUGAAUCCAGGAGCAAGCUCCCUUCAUCCGCUCGACUUGCAUGUGUUAGGCCUGCCGCCAGCGUUCAAUCUGAGCCAGGAUCAAACCCUG
rnacentral:rRNA from 1 species